UACAGAGGGGGCAAGCGUUGUCCGGAAUUACUGGGCGUAAAGCGUGCGCAGGCGGUUUUGUAAGCCAGAUGUGAAAGCCCCGGGCUUAACCUGGGAAUGGCAUUUGGGACUGCAAGGCUUGAGUGCGGCAGAGGAGACUGGAAUUCCUGGUGUAGCAGUGAAAUGCGUAGAUAUCAGGAGGAAUACCGAUGGCGAAGGCAGGUCUCUGGGCUGACACUGACGCUCAUGCACGAAAGCGUGGGGAGCAAACAGG
rnacentral:rRNA from 1 species